GAUUAAAUAGUGCAGAGGUUAGCACAAUUGUUUUUGGAACGAUAGUCGUGGGUUCGAAUCCCAUUUUAAUCA
rnacentral:tRNA from 1 species